UAAUGUUAGACAACAGAGAGACCGGAUGUUGCUAAAUUUAUUCAACUUUAACGCUUGUCAGAAAAAAAAAUCGACACGAAAAGCUGCAUUUCGCAGAACAUUCGAGAGGUUCCCGGACAUCGAGGACGUCCCAGAAAGCUCUCCUCUGUCUCUGAACCUGGCACCGACACCAUUUGGACGCCUCAGGGUUUUAAGCUUUGAGAAAACGUUUUAGACACCCUGCUGCCGCAAUCGAUACACCACCAGCUAUCGACCACCGUUCACUGCGGCAUUUGGACGAUCAGCGUUGUGUUUAUGUCUUUGUUUUGCAGAAACGAGCUGUUGCGCAGCCGUUGGAACCUGUGUGGUGGAAACCUAGCCUUCAAGCAAGGAGCUUGCGGCCACAGCGGCACGACGUUUUUCAUGUCAGAGACCGAGCACGCUUGCAGUCGUUUAUGUCAUCCCCUCUUUUCCAGACAGAAGAUCCC